GCCCGUGUGGCGGAAUCGGUAGACGCAAGGGACUUAAAAUUCCUCACCCUACGGGUAUCCCGGUUCAAGUCCGGGCACGGGCA
rnacentral:tRNA from 1 species